CUUGCAGAGACUUCCACAGCCAAGUGGUGAGAAGCUGGGAUUGCUCCCCGGUUUUGCGGAUCUUCUGUGGGACUUUCUCCUGCUUCGCCUUCCUGCCACAGUGUCUCCCUGGGACCAGCUUGGACAAUGUUGAGGGAUGGAGAGAUGUGACUUCCAUGCCUUCCAGGAAGAAUUUGGAACCACAGAUGGGCAGCAUGGAUUCACUGGAACCACAGAACCAGCAGGGAAGGGAGCCAGAAGGCUGCUGUAUCCGGGUCUCCGUUAUUACAGCUGAAGGUGAUUUCUCCGGACACGGUGCCCGCCGUGCUUCUGAGCCCACGCUGUGCACACACUCACUAGCCUCCUUGGCCAAUGUGCGUCCUCUGCAUGCUAUCAUCCGACCAUGAUGUUGCAUGAGUGGAACAACCGUCUUUUUUUUGUUUUUAAUGCCAAGAGGAGUCUGUGCAUUUUCCUUUCGACUUCUCCAGUUGUAUAGAGGAGAACGGAUCAGACUCUCUGAGGUACACAAAUCGCAUUCUAUAAAUGUUCACGGGGCGGGGUUACCAGUGGCAAACGUUAUCAUUUCCUGGAGUAAAGCUGAGUCACGCCCACUACACUUCCCAAAAGUCUAUACUUGGAAAAAAAAAAUACACAUUCAUGUCUUUGCCUUGUCUUGAAUCUUUCCCCCUAGAAAAUCCAGAAGAAAUAAGACUGAAGGAUAUUACACCUGGAAGGCAGGAAGUGGGGGGGAUGGGCU